rnacentral:rRNA from 1 species
UACGCAGGGGGCUAGCGUUGCUCGGAAUCACUGGGCGUAAAGGGUGCGUAGGCGGGUCUUUAAGUCAGGGGUGAAAUCCUGGAGCUCAACUCCAGAACUGCCUUUGAUACUGAGGAUCUUGAGUUCGGGAGAGGUGAGUGGAACUGCGAGUGUAGAGGUGAAAUUCGUAGAUAUUCGCAAGAACACCAGUGGCGAAGGCGGCUCACUGGGUCUCUUCUGACGCUGAGGAACGAAAGCUAGGGGAGCAAACGGG